AGACUGAUACUGAAGUAAUUUCAGUAUUUUGAUUUCAGUCAAGCACAGAGCUUUAACUAAUAUCCACAUAAAGCUUCAAUCUAGAGUUUGUAAAACAUAGUAGAGUUACUAAUCUUACUGACUAUCAAUUGAUUGAUCAGUUAGACUAAUAACUCAGCAACAUAAAUUUAAACUUAAUCUAAAUAACCUUUAGAAAGAGUUUGCCACUUAACAAAAUCCUUAGUUACACUUUUCAGUUAAUCCAGUUCAGUUGAAAUCAGAUUUAGCGCAGAUAAGGAAUAAAUGAAAGCAGAUAAAUAACACAAUGAUUUUUACGUAGUUCGAAAAAUAACGUUCCUAAUCCACAGCCAGAUGAUUAGUCUGACAAACACUUUGGGCUAAUGCUUACCGGUGCACAGCAAACCGUGAACUGAAAAUUAAAUUUUAGGCACCAACACCCUUGGUUGGAUUUAUCGCUCAUCUUAGCACGCUAAGACACACACGUGCCUUUGCCAGCGCUUGCUAAGAUAUCUGGAGUCAAAACCCUGGUCUGAAC
rnacentral:lncRNA from 1 species